rnacentral:rRNA from 1 species
UACGUAGGGUGCAAGCGUUAAUCGGAAUUACUGGGCGUAAAGCGUGCGCAGGCGGUGAUGUAAGACCGAUGUGAAAUCCCCAGGCUCAACCUGGGAACUGCGUCCGAUACUGGAUGGCUUGAAUCCGGGAGAGGGAUGCAGAAUUCCAGGUGUAGCGGUGAAAUGCGUAGAUAUCUGGAGGAACACCGGUGGCGAAGGCGGCAUCCUGGACCGACACUGACACUGAGGAGCGAAAGCCAGGGGAGCAAACGGG